rnacentral:rRNA from 1 species
UACGGGGGGAGCGAGCGUUGUCCGGAAUCACUGGGCGUAAAGGGCGUGUAGGCUGAUUGGUAAGUCAGAUGUGAAAGGCUGCGGCUUAACCGUAGAUGUGCAUUUGAUACUGCUGAUCUUGAGUGCGAGAGAGGGUAGUGGAAUUCCCAGUGUAGCGGUGAAAUGCGUAGAUAUUGGGAAGAACACCCGUGGCGAAGGCGGCUAACUGGUCCAGUACUGACGCUGAGGUGCGAAAGCGUGGGGAGCAAACAGG